UAGAGUUUGAUCCUGGCUCAGAUUGAACGCUGGCGGCAGGCCUAACACAUGCAAGUCGAACGGUAACAGGAAGCAGCUUNNUGCUUUGCUGACGAGUGGCGGACGGGUGAGUAAUGUCUGGGAAACUGCCUGAUGGAGGGGGAUAACUACUGGAAACGGUAGCUAAUACCGCAUAACGUCGCAAGACCAAAGAGGGGGACCUUCGGGCCUCUUGCCAUCGGAUGUGCUCAGAUGGGAUUAGCUAGUAGGUGGGGUAACGGCUCACCUAGGCGACGAUCCCUAGCUGGUCUGAGAGGAUGACCAGCCACACUGGAACUGAGACACGGUCCAGACUCCUACGGGAGGCAGCAGUGGGGAAUAUUGCACAAUGGGCGCAAGCCUGAUGCAGCCAUGCCGCGUGUAUGAAGAAGGCCUUCGGGUUGUAAAGUACUUUCAGCGGGGAGGAAGGCGAUAAGGUUAAUAACCUUGUCGAUUGACGUUACCCGCAGAAGAAGCACCGGCUAACUCCGUGCCAGCAGCCGCGGUAAUACGGAGGGUGCAAGCGUUAAUCGGAAUUACUGGGCGUAAAGCGCACGCAGGCGGUCUGUCAAGUCGGAUGUGAAAUCCCCGGGCUCAACCUGGGAACUGCAUUCGAAACUGGCAGGCUAGAGUCUUGUAGAGGGGGGUAGAAUUCCAGGUGUAGCGGUGAAAUGCGUAGAGAUCUGGAGGAAUACCGGUGGCGAANGCGGCCCCCUGGA
rnacentral:rRNA from 1 species